rnacentral:rRNA from 1 species
GACGAACGCUGGCGGCGUGCUUAACACAUGCAAGUCGAACGGUAAGGCCCUUCGGGUACACGAGUGGCGAACAGGUGAGUAACACGUGGGUGAUCUGCCCUGCACUUCGGGAUAAGCCUGGGAAACUGGGUCUAAUACCGGAUAGGACUCCUGGCUUCAUGGUUGGGAGUGUAAAGCUUUUGCGGUGUGGGAUGGGCCCGCGGCCUAUCAGCUUGUUGGUGGGGUAAUGGCCUACCAAGGCGACGACGGGUAGCCGGCCUGAGAGGGUGACCGGCCACACUGGGACUGAGAUACGGCCCAGACUCCUACGGGAGGCAGCAGUGGGGAAUAUUGCACAAUGGGCGCAAGCCUGAUGCAGCGACGCCGCGUGAGGGAUGACGGCCUCGGUUGGUAACUACUUCUAAUAGGACGAAGACGC